UACGUAGGUGGCAAGCGUUGUCCGGAUUUACUGGGCGUAAAGAGCGCGCAGGCGGUCGUUUAAGUCGAAUGUGAAAGCCCCCGGCUCAACUGGGGAGGGUCAUUCGAUACUGAUCGACUUGAAGGCAGGAGAGGGAAGUGGAAUUCCGGGUGUAGUGGUGAAAUGCGUAGAUAUCCGGAGGAACACCAGUGGCGAAGGCGGUCUGCUGGGCCGUUGCUGACGCUGAGGCGCGACAGCGUGGGGAGCAAACAGG
rnacentral:rRNA from 1 species